UGCGUAGGCGGUCAUUUAAGUCUGACGUGAAAUCUCCGGGCCUAACCCGGAAACUGCGUUGGAAACUAUCUGACUAGAGGAAUGGAGGGGAGACUGGAAUACUUGGUGUAGCAGUGAAAUGCGUAGAUAUCAAGUGGAACACCAGUGGCGAAGGCGAGUCUCUGGACAUUUCCUGACGCUGAGGCACGAAAAGGCCAGGGAGGCAAACG
rnacentral:rRNA from 1 species